rnacentral:lncRNA from 1 species
CCCAAGUCAGCAAAUAGGUUAGUCAUAGUCAAUAUGCUAAGCUGCAUCUAUAAACUGAUGUUUAAGCUUGAUGAGUCAAAAAAUUCCUGUCUCAGAGUUAGUGCUAAUUCUUCUCUUGUCUUCAGUGAGUGCAAGAAUGGGGCAUUUUGAUUUGUCAGACCUAAUUCCCUAAACACAAUGCUCCUGUGAAUUAUUUCAUUUCAGUAGGAAAAGGACUAUGACAUGGACUUACCACAACGGUGUCUAUGCUGGGAAACUUUUACAGAGUGAGCUCAGAGUCCUUUCUCUUCUUCUGAAUGCUGAAGUUAUUUUGUUUAAGGCAUCAGCAUCUUUAUAGAGAAGGAUCUGAAAGAGCCUGAAGUGGAGCUGUGCUGGCCAGAUCAGGGACAGGGUAAUCCCUGGGUGCUGUGCAUUUAAAACAGAGGCCCUGAGGUGUCAUCAGUCUCACCAGAGACUCCUCCCAUUUUUCCCGAUAAAUGACGAACCCUGAAGAAGAGCUGUUCCCGACACGGGGAACACAUGUGCUUAGCAGAACCAAGCUGUUUCUUUUGCCUACGAAAGGACACUGCUGUGUGAGGAGGAGCCACCCUUGCAAGCCUCUGAAGCACCUGAGAAGGCCCUGCAGUUCUCUGCAUUUGAUGGCAUCAUCAAGUUAACAUGGAUAAAAGGAGCAGUUCUUUUUUAUGUUCUUAUGACAUUUUUAGGACUAGAUCUUUGUGAUUUUGCAUUGUACCUUCAGACAAAUCCUGUUUCCAUGGCUCUGGCUGUGAUGGCUUUUCAUUUGCUCUGCAUCAGAAGGACACUACAGAACUGUGGCACUAAAAGUUACAUUGGACCAUAAAGAUGAAAGGAAAGGAAAGCAAAAAAAAAAAAAAAAAGUAUGCUGUUUUUAAGAUCAGAGGACAACCUAAGAACCACAUUAACCAUAAUGAAAAUGAAAUUUGAAAAGAAUUGCUUACAGUACUUAAAACAGUACUCCACUAUGAGAAAAGAGGUGGGAGAAUUAUCGAAGACAAUUUUUUAAAAUCCUUUGUAGCCAUUCAGAAAUGGUUUCUAAGCAACCAGAACAUGCAGAUAGCCCCAGGAGUAAGAGGUAUUAUGAAUGCUUGGAGACACAAAGAGGAAGAGAAGGAUGAAACAGAGCUGGAAUCAGGCUGGAUAGAUGCUGGAGUGGAGGGCUCUCCCUGCUUAGCACCAGCACUGCAGCUGUGAGGCAGAGGGUGAGCUGCCUCACCAUGAGAAGAUGCACCAAAAGAAGGAAAGUGAAGGGUGUAAGAACUUAAAUGAACAACAUAAGCUUUGUAUCACUCUUUGAGACCUCUCAUUAAAAAUGGGUGAGAGUGCAAAUCUUGCUGUAUGUAAUUAUCUUUAUUUUCCAGAAGACUGACAUUUAGAGUUCCCAUGUACUUUAUUCUAGCUGUUUAAGAAAUGUUCUUGUUAGCUUUUGUCCCGAGCAGUAAUUGUUCACUUUUUAUUCUGGCAAAUCUUUCAUUAAUGGCUGAAUUUAAACACUAAGGAGAAAGAUGAGUAUUUUAAAAAUUACUGGUUAACUAGAUAAGCAGAAAAAAAAAAAGAAAAAAAAAAGAAGCAUAAUUGAGUGAAUAUGAUGGAAAACACUGAAAGGCUGGUCAAAAUGUUUUUAUAUUGUCAGCUUGGGUAAAAACUACAUUUUUAGAGUAUAUUUCUAUAUAUUUUUUUGACUAUCGAUAAAUAAACCACAAACCUUAUAUCA